rnacentral:rRNA from 1 species
AGAGUUUGAUCAUGGCUCAGGAUGAACGCUGGCGGUAUGCUUAACACAUGCAAGUCGAACGAAAGUUUUUAACUUUAGUGGCGAACGGGUGCGUAAUACGUGAGAAUCUGCCCUUAGGAGAAGAAUAACUACUGGAAACGGUUGCUAACUCUUCAUAUGCCGAGAGGUGAAAUAGUUUUUGCUGCCUAGGGAUGAGCUCACGCCUGAUUAGCUAGUUGGUAAGGUAAUGGCUUACCAAGGCCACGAUCAGUAGCUGGUUUGAGAGAACGAUCAGCCACACUGGGACUGAGACACGGCCCAGACUCCUCCGGGAGGCAGCAGUGAGGAAUUUUCCGCAAUGGGCGAAAGCCUGACGGAGCAAUACCGCGUGGGGGAUGAAGGAUUUUGGUCUGUAAACCUCUUUUCUCAAGAAAGAAGUUCUGACGGUACUUGAGGAAUAAGCAUCGGCUAACUCCGUGCCAGCAGCCGCGGUAAUACGGGGGAUGCAAGCGUUAUCCGAAAUCAUUGGGCGUAAAGCGCCUGUAGGUUGUUUAUUAAGUCUGUUGUUAAAGCCUAGGGCUUAACCCUAGAACAGCAAUGGAAACUAGUAGACUAGAGUAUGGUAGGGGUAGAGGGAAUUUCUAGUGUAGCGGUGAAAUGCGUAGAUAUUAGAAAGAACACCAGUGGCGAAAGCGCUCUACUGGGCCAUUACUGACACUCAGAGGCGAAAGCUAGGGUAGCAAAAGGGAUUAGAUACCCCUGUAGUCCUAGCCGUAAACGAUGGAUACUAGAUGUUGUGCUUAUAGUACAGUGUCCUAGCUAACGCGUUAAGUAUCCCGCCUGGGGAGUACGCUCGCAAGGGUGAAACUCAAAGGAAUUGACGGGGGCCCGCACAAGCGGUGGA